rnacentral:rRNA from 1 species
UGAGAGCUUGCUCCCCUGAUGCUUAGCGGCGGACGGGUGAGUAACACGUAGGCAACCUGCCUGUAAGACUGGGAUAACUACCGGAAACGGUAGCUAAUACCGGAUAAUUCACGUGGCUGCAUGGCGGCGUGAUGAAAGACGGAGCAAUCUGUCACUUACAGAUGGGCCUGCGGCGCAUUAGCUAGUUGGUGAGGUAACGGCUCACCAAGGCGACGAUGCGUAGCCGACCUGAGAGGGUGAACGGCCACACUGGGACUGAGACACGGCCCAGACUCCUACGGGAGGCAGCAGUAGGGAAUCUUCCGCAAUGGACGAAAGUCUGACGGAGCAACGCCGCGUGAGUGAUGAAGGUUUUCGGAUCGUAAAGCUCUGUUGCCAGGGAAGAACGUCCGGUAGAGUAACUGCUACCGGAGUGACGGUACCUGAGAAGAAAGCCCCGGCUAACUACGUGCCAGCAG